rnacentral:rRNA from 11 species
UGAAGAGUUUGAUCAUGGCUCAGAUUGAACGCUGGCGGCAGGCUUAACACAUGCAAGUCGAACGAUGAAGCCCAGCUUGCUGGGUGGAUUAGUGGCGAACGGGUGAGUAACACGUGAGUAACCUGCCCUUAACUCUGGGAUAAGCCUGGGAAACUGGGUCUAAUACCGGAUAGGAGCGUCCACCGCAUGGUGGGUGUUGGAAAGAUUUAUCGGUUUUGGAUGGACUCGCGGCCUAUCAGCUUGUUGGUGAGGUAAUGGCUCACCAAGGCGACGACGGGUAGCCGGCCUGAGAGGGUGACCGGCCACACUGGGACUGAGACACGGCCCAGACUCCUA